GAUGAACGCUGACAGAAUGCUUAACACAUGCAAGUCUACUUGAACUUCGGUUUGGGUGGCGGACGGGUGAGUAACGCGUAAAGAACUUGCCCCACAGAUAGGGACAACAUUUGGAAACGAAUGCUAAUACCUGAUAUUAUGAUUUUAGGGCAUCCUAGAAUUAUGAAAGCUAUAUGCACUGUGAGAGAGCUUUGCGUCCCAUUAGCUAGUUGGAGAGGUAACGGCUCACCAAGGCGAUGAUGGGUAGCCGGCCUGAGAGGGUGAUCGGCCACAAGGGGACUGAGACACGGCCCUUACUCCUACGGGAGGCAGCAGUGGGGAAUAUGGGACAAUGGACCAAGAGUCUGAUCCAGCAAUUCUGUGUGCACGAUGAAGUUUUUCGGAAUGUAAAGUGCUUUCAGUUGGGAAGAAAAAAAUGACGGUACCAACAGAAGAAGUGACGGCUAAAUACGUG
rnacentral:rRNA from 1 species